UACAGAGGGUGCGAGCGUUGUCCGGAUUUAUUGGGCGUAAAGAGCGUGUAGGCGGCCAGGUAGGUCUGCUGUGAAAACUCGAGGCUCAACCUCGAGACGUCGGUUGAAACCGUAUGGCUAGAGUCCGGAAGAGGAGAGUGGAAUUCCCGGUGUAGCGGUGAAAUGCGCAGAUAUCGGGAAGAACACCCGUGGCGAAGGCGGCUCUCUGGGACGGUACUGACGCUGAGACGGCGGAAAAGCGUGGGGAGCGAACAGG
rnacentral:rRNA from 1 species